CCUACGGGAGGCAGCAGUAGGGAAUCUUUCACAAUGGGCGAAAGCCUGAUGGAGCAACGCCGCGUGCAGGAUGAAGGCCUUCGGGUUGUAAACUGCUUUUAUAAGCGAGAAAUAUGAUGGUAACUUAUGAAUAAGUAUCGGCUAACUACGUGCCAGCAGCCGCGGUCAUACGUAGGAUCCGAGCAUUAUCCGGAGUGACUGGGUGUAAAGAGUUGCGUAGGUGGCAUAAUAAGUAGCUAGUGAAAUCUGGUGGCUCAACCAUUCGGACUAUUAGCUAAACUGUUAAGCUCGAGACCGUUAGUGGUAACUGGAAUGUCUAGUGUAGGAGUGAAAUCCGUAGAUAUUAGAAGGAACACCAAUAGCGUAGGCAGGUUGCUGGGACGGUUCUGACACUAAGGCACGAAAGCGUAGGGAGCAAACGGGAUUAGAGACCCCAGUAGUC
rnacentral:rRNA from 1 species